GACGAACGCUGGCGGCGUGCUUAACACAUGCAAGUCGAACGGUAAGGCCCCUUCGGGGGUACACGAGUGGCGAACGGGUGAGUAACACGUGAGCAACCUGCCCUUGACUCUGGAAUAACA
rnacentral:rRNA from 1 species